rnacentral:lncRNA from 1 species
UGGGCCAACAAACACUUAGAAGCUUCCUCAUUGUGGACAUCCCAUGUGGGUGAGGGAUUGGGUGCAAUAUGGUUGUCAUAUGUGAUGGCAAUACUAUCUCAUGUAGGAGUCCUUCUUUCAUGAGUAUUGGAUUGAUUCAAAAUAUAUUUGAGUUAGGAGUCCUAUACUUAUUGGGUUAUGGGAUUCAUUUAUAAAUAGAGAGGGUCUUUACCUAUGGAUGCAUAGCAAACAAAUCAAAUUGAGAGAAGAGAGAAAGAGAGAGGAGGCGUGAGAAGAGAGAAGCCUUUCUUCUUCUCCUUGGCCUCUCCCCUUUGGUGCUAUCCCUUCUCCCUUGGUGUGGGCCCUCCUUGGGCAUCCCACUUGCUGGUGUGAGGUGUCACACCAAUAUAUCUUCUUUCUUAUUUGAUUGGAUUAUGAAGAUCGGAGUUCAUCCUGCUUUCCUGAGGCAUCUGACAUGUAUGCAAAGUAGAGGGUCUGCAUAUCUAGGCCUCCGUGAAGGAUUGUUUCAGAGUUUUGAAGAUUUGAUCUCUAGUUCCAUUGCUAAUCAGGCAAAAAUUUGAUCCUUA